UCUAAUACCGGAUAUAACCACUGGUCUCAUGAUCGGGUGGUGGAAAGUUUUUCGGUUGGGGAUGGGCUCGCGGCCUAUCAGCUUGUUGGUGGGGUGAUGGCCUACCAAGGCGACGACGGG
rnacentral:rRNA from 1 species